ACAAUGGCCGGUACAAUGCGAAGCGAAGCAGUGAUGUGAAGCAAAUCGCACCAAAGCCGGUCCCAGUUCGGAUAAGAGGCUGAAACUCGCCUCUUUGAAGUCGGAAUCGCUAGUAAUCGCAGAUCAGCAUGUUGCGGUGAAUACGUUCCCGGGUCUUGUACACACCGCCCGUCAAACCAUGAGAGUCACCAACACCCGAAGUCCGCUUUGGCGGCCUAAGGUGGGGGAGAUGAUUGGGGUUAAGUCGUAACAAGGUAUC
rnacentral:rRNA from 1 species